GACAGCAGCAGCCACGGUAAUACAGAGGGUGCGAGCGUUAAUCGGAUUUACUGGGCGUAAAGCGUGCGUAGGCGGCUUCUUAAGUCGGAUGUGAAAUCCCUGAGCUUAACUUAGGAAUUGCAUUCGAUACUGGGAAGCUAGAGUAUGGGAGAGGAUGGUAGAAUUCCAGGUGUAGCGGUGAAAUGCGUAGAGAUCUGGAGGAAUACCGAUGGCGAAGGCAGCCAUCUGGCCUAAUACUGACGCUGAGGUACGAAAGCAUGGGGAGCAAACAGGAUUAGAUACCCCGGUAGUCCCUGUCUCUUAUAA
rnacentral:rRNA from 1 species